CAAUCGAAGUGGUGACAUCUCGAUGAAUCACAAGAAGUCAGCCGAAGUCAUAGUAGUAUCCCAUCUGACAAGGAUACGAAGGAC
rfam:Bacillus sp. FJAT-27916 Scaffold1, whole genome shotgun sequence.